rnacentral:rRNA from 1 species
UACGAAGGGGGCUAGCGUUGCUCGGAAUCACUGGGCGUAAAGGGUGCGUAGGCGGGUCUUUAAGUCAGGGGUGAAAUCCUGGAGCUCAACUCCAGAACUGCCUUUGAUACUGAAGAUCUUGAGUUCGAGAGAGGUGAGUGGAACUGCGAGUGUAGAGGUGAAAUUCGUAGAUAUUCGCAAAGAACACCAGUGGCGAAGGCGGCUCACUGGCCCGAUACUGACGCUGAGGCACGAAAGCGUGGGGAGCAAACAGG